UGGGCCUAUAGCUCAGUUGGUUAGAGCAGCGGACUCAUAAUCCGCGGGUCGCCGGUUCAAGUCCAGCUGGGCCCAUUUU
rnacentral:tRNA from 1 species